CUCCAGACUCCUACGGGAGGCAGCAGUGAGGAAUAUUGGUCAAUGGGCGCGAGCCUGAACCAGCCAAGUCGCGUGAGGGAUGACGGCCCUACGGGUUGUAAACCUCUUUUGUCGGGGAGCAAAUUCCGUUACGUGUAAUGGAGUCGAGAGUACCCGAAGAAAAAGCAUCGGCUAACUCCGUGCCAGCAGCCGCGGUAAUACGGAGGAUGCGAGCGUUAUCCGGAUUUAUUGGGUUUAAAGGGUGCGUAGGCGGACUGUCAAGUCAGCGGUAAAAUACGGGGGCUCAACCCCGUCGUGCCGUUGAAACUGGCGUUCUUGAGUGAGCGAGAAGUAUGCGGAAUGCGUGGUGUAGCGGUGAAAUGCAUAGAUAUCACGCAGAACUCCGAUUGCGAAGGCAGCAUACCGGCGCUCAACUGACGCUCAUGCACGAAAGCGUGGGUAUCGAACAGGAUUAGAUACCCCUGUAA
rnacentral:rRNA from 1 species